UACGUAGGUGACAAGCGUUGUCCGGAUUUACUGGGCGUAAAGAGCGCGCAGGCGGUCGUUCAAGUCGAGUGUGAAAGCCCCCGGCUCAACUGGGGAGGGUCAUUCGAUACUGAUCGACUCGAAGGCAGGAGAGGGUAGUGGAAUUCCCGGUGUAGUGGUGAAAUGCGUAGAUAUCGGGGAGGAACACCAGUGGCGAAGGGCGACUACCUGGCCUGUUCUUGACGCUGAGGCGCGAAAGCGUGGGGAGCGAACAGG
rnacentral:rRNA from 1 species